GAUGAAGAACGCAGCGAAAUGCGAUAAGUAAUGUGAAUUGCAGAAUUCAGUGAAUCAUCGAAUCUUUGAACGCACAUUGUGCCCCCUGGUAUUCCGGGGGGCAUGCCUGUCCGAGCGUCAUUACAACCCUCAAGCUCAGCUUGGUGUUGGGCCCCGCCGCCCCGGCGGGCCCUAAAGUCAGUGGCGGUGCCGUCCGGCUCCGAGCGUAGUAAUUCUUCUCGCUCUGGAGGUCCGGUCGUGUGCUCGCCAGCACCCCCCAAUUUUUUUCAGGUUGACCUCGGAUCAGGUAGGGAUACCCGCUGAACUUAAGCAUAUCAAUAAGCGGAGGA
rnacentral:misc_RNA from 1 species